AUUUGCUGAGGAAACAAAAAGAAAGUAGGGCUGAAACAUUCAGACCGUCCUAUGCCAAAGGGUGAAAAACAACACUAAACCCAAACCCAAACCAGAAGGAGAUGAAGAAAAACAUCAGAAAAUAAAGGAGAGCAAUAAGAAUGUCGUUACCUUAAAGGUAUGAAUGGCUUCUUGAAACGUCAAGCCCUUUAUUGGUAUUCCAUUUACAUCUAGGAUUUCAUCCCCUAGUGACCAAAUAGGAGAAUUACAUUAACGUCAAGCUUUAAUUUAGGGGAAUCUGUCAGAAUGCGAACAGGAUACCACAGGGUCCCUGAUUUACAACUCUAUAAAGUGAAUACGUGCAUCCACGUUCCUUAGCUUAGCUCCCAGGAAUGUCACAAAAUGGGGCAAUGAAUGCAUAUUUCUCUACAGUAACUCUGUAUUUCCACGUUUAAUUAAAACAACUAUGGGAAGCAUCCAAGUCUUAUUCUUCAGCCAUUGCCAAGUUUAAUAUCAGAUGUCCUAUGUUUAGAGAUCAAACUGCAAAAAACGGAGUCCCAAGUCUUUCCUCAUGGUCUUUGUUUAAAAACUUAAAACCAAAGGCAGUGAAGCAUGAACGCACACAUGUGAGAAGCCACUCCCAUCUCUGGGCCCAGAGAAUCAUCACAGAGCAGGGGAAAUCGUCUCAAUAACAGAGACAAAAAGAAAACAAAAAAACCAAAACCUUGUGAGAUAUUAUUUAGGAAUGGCAGCUCCACCUCUAGAAAUAGUCUAGAUGCCCAGCCUUAGUGGUGCUCCAGGUUCUCCAUCAUUAAGCAGGCACGCUACUAUACGCUUCUGUGUCAGAAAUUAUUGUAGGCUAAUGCCAAACUGCAUUCACAGUCUCUCCCCUCAGCCCCCCAUCCCGGACUCAUCUUCAACUCCAAGAAGGUAUAGUUAGGUCAUUUUCAAGCUGUUGAUAGUGUCUGCUGGGAAUAGAAAAGAACUUGAACAUCCUGUUGACUUACCAGAGUUUGUUCUAGUUUGUACUCUUGUAACAUAGUCCUUUUUUUUUUUUUUAAAUAACAGUUCAUCAAAAACGCUACACAAAGGGGCCCCGAGAGAAGAAGAGAUGGACCUUGCACAGCAGUGCAGGACGGAAAAGGGACUUCCCUUACCUAUGACAGAGUGCAAAGCAGCACAAGAUCUCUCAGUUCCCCUCCCGGGGACUGUGCACCUGAUCAAAGGAACCCUGCCCCUGAGUGUAAAAUGUAGCCACUCCCCAUGCAUUUGUUGUGUGCCUUCCCUUUAAUGCAACUGCAGAAGUUGUAAAAUAAGUGACAGAAUCUGUUUAAAAAUCUCCUGGCACAGCUGAUUACUCAACGAGGUGAGGUUUUGGGUUUGUUCCCACAUAGGAAAAGGAUGGAAACAUUAAAACGAUUGCUCAGCCUUUAAAAAUCUUCAUACAAGAUUUAAAGACGACAGACCAUUCAACAGGUUGAAAAUCCAUUUCAACGACUUGUCUUUAUUGUAAAUGAUACAGAUGGAAAAAAAGAGUAUUAGGAAGACUCGCGUGCUAUUAACCUUUCCUAACUAUUGAUUUCGCCUCCGUUUUGCUGCAGUCCACCAGUGCUGCAGGGAGACUGUCAAUCAAGUGAACACAGGGCACAUCCGCUAUGAAAAUGCUCUGCUGCUAGAACUUUCCGUCGUUCUGUACACAGACACAGACACCAGCUGGGAGCCAAGGCUUCCUCUAAGAGAGGGAAAUAAGUACUCUGCCAUCAAAAUAUGAAGCCUGCUCACGUCUCAUCAUUAGCAUCCAGGCUUCCAGGGUCACGCUGCCUGAACAAGGAGACUCCAACUCACUCUACCAGUUAAAAAACAACAACUGUAUGCUUCAUACAGCAGCACCUAUACUCUGGGCCAACUGAAAUGAGCAGCCACGCCGUUUUUUAAGCCCGAUGAUGGAGAUGACCGACGGCCGGAUGAGCCUCCACGGAGACUCCACCUGCGUGGUGCUCAGGGAGCGGGUGGACUUCUUCACGAUGUGGUAUUCCUACAGUCAGCAGACAGAAGGCCAGAGAGUCCCAGCUACCCUCUGGUCCUCUGGCAUCAGAUACAUUCAGAUUCUGAAAACCUCAGCUGUCUUUGGGGUGAGGUGGCCAUUCCUCCCUGGUCCAGCGGCUUUAAGAAAGUUUAUUAUAAAGAACACUGGAGAGCCCUGGCCAGGUGGCUCAGUUGGUUGGAGGAUCGUUCCAUACACCAAAAGGCUGCAAGUUUGAUUCCUGGUAAGGGCAUAUACCUAGGUUGCGGGUUCGUUACCCAGUCAGGACACGUAUGGGAGGUAACCGAUUAAUGUUUCUCUCUCACAGAGAUCUCUCUCUCCCUUCCUCUCUCUCUAAAAACAUAUCUUCAGAUGAGGAUUUAAAUAAAACAAACAAACAAACAAAACGCUUUAAAUAGAAGCAGAGGACUAGAUCCUCCUGCAAAAUGGCCACACCUUCUUCCUCCACAGAAAGAACGGCUCAGAGGCCGCAGACAUCUGUUAUUUCUUUCCUUAACUGUACUCCGUGGAUCCUGCUUCUGGCUUUCUGGAAUGGAGUCAGGAACCAGAAACCCAGAGGCCUCAGAGCUGCACGAUGACCACCCUGGGUUUAGGGUCCCCCCUGGAAGUCACCCCCUCCCCCCAACCCCCACCCCAAGUUCAUAAUCAUGGUUAGGAAUCAUUCCCCAUUUUAAGCUUAAUUCUCUCACUCAAAAACUUAGUAAGCCCUUGUUUCUUAUAAAACCCAAACCGCAAACCCAGAUAACUGUUAUUCUGCAUAAAACAUCCCGUUGAGCAACUGCAGCAGCUUCAGGUCUAAUCCCUCACAUGUGCACAAUAAAAUAUUUUCCAGAGCAAAUCUCCAUCUCAAUCCUGUCCACCACUCAGUACAUACGUGUGAAAGCAGGGCACACCAAUAUAACCUAAACAAGAGAGUCUACAAAUCUAUUGCUAAAACACUUCUGCAGUCUAGCUCCUUGUGAUUCUUCUUAGAAUAAAUUUCUUAAAUGACAGAUAUUCCAUUAUAAGCAAAAAACAAAAACAAAAAAAAA